AAGCUACUAAGAGCGAAUGGUGGAUGCCUUGACUGGUAAAGGCGAUGAAGGACGUACUAGACUGCGAUAAGCUACGGGGAGCUGUCAAGAAGCUUUGAUCCGUAGAUUUCCGAAUGGGGCAACCCAAUGUAUAGAGAUAUACAUUACCUAUAUAGGAGCGAACGAGGGGAAUUGAAACAUCUUAGUACCCUCAGGAAAAGAAAUCAAUAGAGAUUGCGUCAGUAGCGGCGAGCGAAAGCGCAAGAGGGCAAACCCAGUGCUUGCACUGGGGGUUGUAGGACUGCAAUGUGCAAGAGGUAAGUUUAGCAGAACAUUCUGGAAAGUAUAACCAUAGAGGGUGAUAGUCCCGUAUGCGAAAAACAAACCUUAGCUAGCAGUAUCCUGAGUAGGGCGGGACACGAGGAAUCCUGUCUGAAUCCGGGUCGACCACGAUCCAACCCUAAAUACUAAUACCAGAUCGAUAGUGCACAAGUACCGUGAGGGAAAGGUGAAAAGAACUGAGGUGAUCAGAGUGAAAUAGAACCUGAAACCAUUUGCUUACAAUCAUUCAGAGCCCUAUGUAGCAAUACAGGGUGAUGGACUGCCUUUUGCAUAAUGAGCCUGCGAGUUGUGGUGUCUGGCAAGGUUAAGCAAACGCGAAGCCGUAGCGAAAGCGAGUCUGAAUAGGGCGCUUAGUCAGAUGCUGCAGACCCGAAACGAAGUGAUCUAUCCAUGAGCAAGUUGAAGCUAGUGUAAGAACUAGUGGAGGACUGAACCCAUAGGCGUUGAAAAGCCCCGGGAUGACUUGUGGAUAGGGGUGAAAGGCCAAUCAAACUUCGUGAUAGCUGGUUCUCUCCGAAAUAUAUUUAGGUAUAGCGUUGUGUCGUAAUAUAAGGGGGUAGAGCACUGAAUGGGCUAGGGCAUACACCAAUGUACCAAACCCUAUCAAACUCCGAAUACCUUAUAUGUAAUCACAGCAGUCAGGCGGCGAGUGAUAAAAUCCGUCGUCAAGAGGGAAACAACCCAGACUACCAGCUAAGGUCCCUAAAUCUUACUUAAGUGGAAAACGAUGUGAAGUUACUUAAACAACCAGGAGGUUGGCUUAGAAGCAGCCAUCCUUUAAAGAAAGCGUAAUAGCUCACUGGUCUAGUGAUUUUGCGCGGAAAAUAUAACGGGGCUAAAGUAAGUACCGAAGCUGUAGACUUGCACACAACUUAGAUUAUUUAAGUUUAGAAUAUGAGAAACUAAGUUAUAUGUUUAGUUAUAUUUUUACUGAUUUUUAUAGAGUAAAGAUAGAAAUAAAACUUAGUAAAAUCAGUAAAAAUAUUCUUAGACUAAAGUUAAGUAGUUUAAGUUGUGUGCAAGUGGUAGGAGAGCGUUCUAUUUGCGUCGAAGGUAUACCGGUAAGGAGUGCUGGAGCGAAUAGAAGUGAGCAUGCAGGCAUGAGUAGCGAUAAUUAAUGUGAGAAUCAUUAACGCCGUAAACCCAAGGUUUCCUACGCGAUGCUCGUCAUCGUAGGGUUAGUCGGGUCCUAAGUCGAGUCCGAAAGGGGUAGACGAUGGCAAAUUGGUUAAUAUUCCAAUACCAACAUUAGUGUGCGAUGGAAGGACGCUUAGGGCUAAGGGGGCUAGCGGAUGGAAGUGCUAGUCUAAGGUCGUAGGAGGUUAUACAGGCAAAUCCGUAUAACAAUACUCCGAGAACUGAAAGGCUUUUUGAAGUCUUCGGAUGGAUAGAAGAACCCCUGAUGCCGUCGAGCCAAGAAAAGUUUCUAAGUUUAGCUAAUGUUGCCCGUACCGUAAACCGACACAGGUGGGUGGGAUGAGUAUUCUAAGGCGCGUGGAAGAACUCUCUUUAAGGAACUCUGCAAAAUAGCACCGUAUCUUCGGUAUAAGGUGUGGUUAGCUUUGUAUUAGGAUUUACUCCGAAAGCAAGGAAACUUACAACAAAGAGUCCCUCCCGACUGUUUACCAAAAACACAGCACUCUGCUAACUCGUAAGAGGAUGUAUAGGGUGUGACGCCUGCCCGGUGCUCGAAGGUUAAUUGAUGGGGUUAGCAUUAGCGAAGCUCUUGAUCGAAGCCCGAGUAAACGGCGGCCGUAACUAUAACGGUCCUAAGGUAGCGAAAUUCCUUGUCGGUUAAAUACCGACCUGCAUGAAUGGCGUAACGAGAUGGGAGCUGUCUCAAAGAGGGAUCCAGUGAAAUUGUAGUGGAGGUGAAAAUUCCUCCUACCCGCGGCAAGACGGAAAGACCCCGUGGACCUUUACUACAGCUUGACACUGCUACUUGGAUAAGAAUGUGCAGGAUAGGUGGGAGGCUUUGAGUAUAUGACGCCAGUUGUAUAUGAGCCAUUGUUGAGAUACCACUCUUUCUUAUUUGGGUAGCUAACCAGCUUGAGUUAUCCUCAAGUGGGACAAUGUCUGGUGGGUAGUUUGACUGGGGCGGUCGCCUCCCAAAUAAUAACGGAGGCUUACAAAGGUUGGCUCAGAACGGUUGGAAAUCGUUCGUAGAGUAUAAAGGUAUAAGCCAGCUUAACUGCAAGACAUACAAGUCAAGCAGAGACGAAAGUCGGUCUUAGUGAUCCGGUGGUUCUGUGUGGAAGGGCCAUCGCUCAAAGGAUAAAAGGUACCCCGGGGAUAACAGGCUGAUCUCCCCCAAGAGCUCACAUCGACGGGGAGGUUUGGCACCUCGAUGUCGGCUCAUCGCAUCCUGGGGCUGGAGCAGGUCCCAAGGGUAUGGCUGUUCGCCAUUUAAAGCGGUACGCGAGCUGGGUUCAGAACGUCGUGAGACAGUUCGGUCCCUAUCUGCCGUGGGCGUAAGAAGAUUGAAGAGAUUUGACCCUAGUACGAGAGGACCGGGUUGAACAAACCACUGGUGUAGCUGUUGUUCUGCCAAGAGCAUCGCAGCGUAGCUAAGUUUGGAAAGGAUAAACGCUGAAAGCAUCUAAGCGUGAAGCCAACUCUAAGAUGAAUCUUCUCUAAGCUCUCUAGAAGACUACUAGUUUGAUAGGCUGGGUGUGUAAUGGAUGAAAGUCCUUUAGCUGACCAGUACUAAUAGAGCGUUUGGCUUAUCU
rnacentral:rRNA from 1 species